ACCGCCGCCGCCGCGGGCGGCCUGGGCGCCCCGCGCCGCUCACCUUCAUGUCGGGACAUCCUAGUCCAGAGACGGCGGCCCAGGCCUGUCUCGGGGCUCCCGCGGGCAGCUCGGGCGCCGCUGCGGCCUCGCCCCCCGCCGCCGCCCCGGUGCGAGAGGAGAGGGGCCGGGGCUGGGCCGGGAAGGGGGCGAAAACACAAGAGGCGGCGAGGAGCCGGCCUCCCUCCUCCUCCUUCUCCUCCUCCUCCUGCCUCCUCGCUCGCCCUGCGGGGGGCGGAUCCGGCGGCAACGGCUUCCCGGGCGCCGUGACACGGUGACUCCGGGCCCCGCCGGCCGCUGGCGCCGCCUCCCGCGCCGCUCCGCCCCUGCCGCACCAGCGACGGCGGCGGCCGCGCUGGAGCCUUCCCGGCCCCGGCCCCUGCCCCUUCCCCUUCCUCCUCCCGCCCCGGCCGCGCUGCUGGAGGAAGAGGAAACUCCCUAACAGGGCGGCGGCCCUCCCGCGCGGGCUGCCGGGCCAGGGCGGGCUCCGCCCGGGGCAAGGAAGCGGUCGAGGUAGCGGAACCCAGCACCGGCCCGACCCAAAGGACACGCAUUAAUCAGUUUUUUGUAUGUAAAAAGAGCGGAAAAAGAGCGGCAGAGAACAGCGUGCCCUGAGCCGGCGCUCUGUCACUGAUCGCGUUACUCAUUCUGCCAGAUUUGCGGAGCUGCGACUCCAGGCACAGGGCUGGAGUCUUUCCUUCGUGGUUUGUUUUUUUUGGUUUUUGGCCUGCUUAUGGUGUCUCACGAUCCACCUUGAAGUGUCCAAAGCACUGGAACCGCACAAUGAAAUGGUAGGAAUCAGGAACAUCAGACAGCUUUGCUUAGUGAGUCCCAUUUGGAGAUUUUGCAAUGGAAUACAAGCAUCUCACUGGACAAGAGUGGACUUGAAUUUUCAGCAGAUUUUUUUCCCUCGCAUGGAAACUACUUGGCCUUAGAGCUAUACUUUGCUAAGCACAACUAAAUAUACUAUAAAAUGCUCAUUAUCAGUUUAAA